UUUCCACAGCUUUCUUGAACUUCUUCUUCUUCUCUCUCUUAGAAGGGCCGUAUAGCUUCUUUGAACCUCUCUCUCUCUCUCUCUCAAAAGUGUACACGAACACUUUCUUCAUUCUCUGCCUCUCGCUCUCUGAUCUCCGAAGAAGGUCAAGAAAGCCGUGGGAAGA